AGCGGUUAGAUAGAAUCUAAACAGAGCACGACUUUCGAGGCCAAGGCUUAUUGUGAAGGGAGAACGAACGUGGAUUUUGAGUCUCUUCGAGAGAGAGCUCAGCCUUUCGAGUCUCUUCGCAAACUACUUUCGAGUUUCCCUGCUAUUGCGAAGGCAGAAUGGGAGAACGAACGAGUUUCCCUGUCGUUUCUGGCGACCUUCGAGGAAGAAGGUCUCUUUUGCCCUCCAAGAUCCAUGUGUUUGCCCUCUUUGUUUCGCCCUCCAUGGCUCUAUUUUGGAAUCCGAAGGAAAGCCUACCUUCCACAAAAGGGACCUUCCAUGAAAGAGGAAAUCCGAUGACUCUGGCCCUGUUUUCGAAUCCAAAGGAAAGCCUACCUUGCAUGGGAGAACGAUGACCCUGGCCAACAUGUCUCAUUGAAGAUCACAUUGCAUCAAGUUAGUUAACUAGUCAAAAUUGUAUCACUUGUUAUUGAUAUGCUUUAAUAAAAUUUCUUCUUUACUUAUCAAAAUAAAAAGUAGACUAAGGCUGCAUUUGGCUUUGUGGAAAAUAAGGCCUUUUCUCCUUUUACAGGCAGAAAAAAUGAUACAUGCCAUUUCUUUAAACUUUGAUACAUGCCAGCUUAUCUCAAGUAUGUCUUUGCAUUUAAGACUUAUAUUAUAUGGAUAGGAUGUGUUUCUGUGUUGGGUUUUGGAAUUAUGCUUUGUAGUGACAUUUUAGUAAUGGUGGACACAGACCUGCUUAUCAUGUUCUUGUUAUUUUGCCCUGGAAGCAAACUAUUAGUGGCUCUUGAUAAAGUGGAAUAGUGAAACAGACUUUUGUAUUCAACUCCAUGUAGUUGAGAUA